rnacentral:rRNA from 1 species
UAAUAGCGUAUAUUAAAGUUGUUGCAGUUAAAAAGCUCGUAGUCGGAUGUCGGGCUCGGAGAGGCUGUCGGCCUUUGGUCGGACGGCAUCUUCGGACCUUUCUGCCUGGGGAUCCUACUCUGCUUAACCGCAGGGUAGUGGGACGCAGACCGUUUACUUUGAAAAAAUUAGAGUGUUCAAAGCAGGCCUACGCUUGAAUACAUUAGCAUGGAAUAAUGGGAUAGGACUUUGGUCUUAUUUGUUGGUUUAUGGGACCGAAGUAAUGAUUAACAGGGACAGUUGGGGCCGUUUAUAUUUCGUUGUCAGAGGUGAAAUUCUUGGAUUUACGAAAGAUAAACUUCUGCGAAAGCAUUCGGCAAGGAUGUUUUCAUUGA